UGCGCAUUAUUAGUGCUUACGCGCCGCAAGCGGGCUUGGGCGAGGAGGAGAAAAGACGUUUUUGGGAGGAUUUGGACGAGAUGAUGGGAGGUAUACCGCCCACUGAGAAGCUAUUCAUCGGAGGAGAUUUCAAUGGGCACAUUGGGUCAAUUUCGGGGAUAUGACGAUGUGCAUGGAGGUUGUGGUUUCGGGGACAGGAAUGGAGGAGGAGUUGCAAUGUUGAAUUUCGCAAAAGCCUUUGGGCUGGGGGUAGCCAAUUCGAGUUUCCCGAAGAAGGAGGAGCACUUGAGAGGUGCUGGGGGUCUCGAAGGGUAGCUGUGGUCGACAUCGAGGGGACUGGUAGUGGAAUAGAGAAGUUCAAGAGAAGGUGGAAGCAAAAAAGGUGGCGUAUGCGAAGUUGGUAGACAGCAAGGAUGAUGAGGAGAAGCGAAUGAAUAGGGAAUUGUAUAAGAUGGCGAGGAAGGAGGCAAAGUUAGCGGCUACGGUGGCAAAGACAGCAGCUUUUGAACGCUUGUAAUCAGAACUAAAGGACAAAGGCGGGGAUAAAAAGUUGUACCGACUAGCCAAGGCGAGGGAGAGGAAAGCGCGUGACUUGGAUCAGGUGAAGUGCAUCAAGGACGAGGAUGGCAGGGUACUGGUGGAGGACGCUCUCAUUAGACGGAGAUGGCAGUCAUACUUCCACAAACUCUUGAACGACGAAGGGGACA